UGGCAAAGCAGCUACUGUAGAGUGCUUCAAGAGGAGGGACGAGUGGAGGAAGCACCCUAGGCUCACCAAUCAGCUCCGCCAUGCCCUUCCUGGUUUUGGCCUCAAAGUCGCCGCCUUAGGCGUCUACCUAGACGGUGAGCAGCAACCAAACGUACCAUCUAAAGAUUGAAUUCAUCAGAACCAUCAUCGAUUUUUGGUGCAAACUUUGAAUUCGAAUCUUUGAGAUCGAAAAUGAUGCUGAAUCUUGGAAAGUCUCUCAUUGAGCAAUGAGUUACAGAAGGUAAUCUUUAUAUUUGGUAAGAUUUGCAUUUCAAGCAGUUUUUUUAGUUUAUAUAUUUUUUAUGAUCACAGUUCAAUAGUCAAUCAGUGAUCGCCUUUCAUGUUUAAUGCUGUAUAUAUAUAUAUAUAUAUAUAGAAAUAUAUAUUCUGAAUUUGCUGAAACUAUUGCAGUUAUAUCUUAUUGGUUUUCUUUGCAUUUGAAUUUAUGGUUUGCUUCAGUGAAUUUCGAUGAAAAUAAUCUUUUCUGUUACACAAUGUACGAGCUUGAACUUUAUAAUUUGGCCAAUACUUAAAUCUUGGUUAAUUAAUAACCCAUAAGCAGGUAAAAAAAUGCAUCUAUGAAUUGCUUUGUCGGAUAGUCUAUUCUAUGAAUUUACACGACAUCCACCAGUAAUUUUUAAAAAUUGAGACUAAUCUGGGCUUAAGAAUUAUUAAACAUUAUGUUUAAUUUCUGGUUUUGGAAGAUAAUUGUUUUCACUAGAUGUUAGGGAUAAGAAGCACCCAGUUAUCUUAGACUUCUUAGUGAGAUAAGGACCACUAAGGAUAUGGUUUCUAUGAGCAUUGUCACAUAAAGCAAGGUCAUCCCAAUUAUAUGAUAACGUCUUUCGUCAGCUUUCGACAUUUCCCUUAUCCCUUUUGUUUCUUCCUCCAAAACAUGGUCUUCUUCAUUCAAGAAAAAGGAUUAAACAAUGCCCUUGUUUGUUACCAUGAAAUGUUAAUAUUAAAUUUAUGAUAAUUUUUGCUAUAUAUAAUUAUAUAAUCUGGCUUUUGUUUGUAGUUUUUCCUGUUAUUUUAAAUCCCUUUUCACUGGUUCACCCAGUUCCACUCUUUGUUAGUCUUAAAAGGCAAUGUACCCGGGUGGUUAUACUACAGUAGUUACAAGCUUAUCUCCAAAAGCAACAAAAAAGGAUAUUUAUGAUCUUUUUCACUUAUUGUGGUGUAACUGAGGAUGUUGAAAUCAUCAAGUAGAGUCCUUCUGCACAACUUCUGAUUGCUAAUUAUGAUUCCUUUUCCUCGAGUGAAAGCUGCAAAAUGAUGGUUUGGUCAUUGAUUAUAUAUGAAUUUAUUGUUCAUAAACUCAUCAAAUUGUUUGGAUGUUAUUUGGUUUGAAAGUGGUCAAAAGAUAAGAAUCUUUUCUGGAAUUUAUAUUACAAUUAUUUAAUUUCCUUUUUUUCUUUUGUCAUUUUAAAUAUCCAUAUGUCAAUUAGUCCAUUGGAGUGUCUUGUAAAAGCUAAUUUAUUCCAUAAGACCCCUGCUUUAAUGGAUUUCUAAAGGUAUAUGUGGAGAAUAUAAAAUAUUUUUCUAUAUGUGGAGAAUAUAAGAUAUUUUUCUUUCCAUCAUUUGGUCAAGAGGCUAAAGCUAAUAUUACUGAGAAGUUCAUAUUCUAAAAUGAGAUUGAAAUGUAAACAUAAUAGAAAUUUUAACUUUUUCAUGAAAGCAUGUUAGGAAUUGUCUUCUCUUUCUUUAUCCUUUUUUUUCAAAUAAAAUUCAAACUCCAAGCAUGGCAAUAAGUUGGGAAAUUGUUUCAUUAUUCAAUAUUAAUGUGAUGGUUAAAAAUGCUCCUAAAGAACAAUAACUUCCUCAAGACAGUUUAUUUCCACAUGUAAUUAUCAAUGUCAGACUAAGAAGACAAGAUCAAAAUUUGAAUCUUAUCUGUAUAAAAGCUGAAACUUCAUGGAGAAAUUUCCAAAUUAUCAUUGCUUUCCUUUGCCACCUUUGCCCAAAAAAAAAAAAAAAAAAAAAAAAACACACUUGAAUGCCUUCUAUUAUAUAGAUUCUACAAUUUUAUGUCCUCAUAAAUUACGUGCUGUAGAAAUGAUUCCAGAUUAUGAUCCAUGUAGGGAGGUAACUAUCCAUCCAAUGCCAUAUUUCCUUUCAAAUUCUUAUUAACACAAAAGGGUCCUCUCUGUCCCAAUAUAAUUUUAGAAGACCUUUUAUUUGUUUGUUUCUCUUUACAGGUUAGAUUCAAUUGAGUGGUUAUUUAGCCUUUUCUAACUUGCUACUCUGCACAUGUGCGUAAAUUGUAUGUUGGUAUAAUUGAGUUAUAGGUUUGCUGGAAAUAGGUCUGGUGAGUAUGCCUAUACUGCAUAUGUGACAUUCAAAGAUGCUUAUGCUCUGAAAACCGCUGUCUUGCUUAGUAUACCUUGUUGUUUACACUCGUCUAAAAUGAGUACUCAUCUACAUGACCUAAGAAAAUAAAAUUGUGAGGGUAUAACUAAACAGUCAGUCCCCUUGCCUUUCCUCUCAUUCAUUUUUGUACAAUGGUGUAGAAAAUAAACAAAGAAUUUUUGGUUUUUUAGUUCUAGUCUAUUUUCCACUUUUUCUUCUUCUUCUUUUUUUUUUUUUUUUUUCCUGUUCUUUUACACCAAUGCUUGCAAAUGAAAUCCAUUUAUUGAUGACUGAUGAUUUAUGGAUUUCUCAUAGUAAUCCCACUUCAAAGGUUUCGAGCCUAUAGAAUAACAAAGUUUAGUUUUCAUUAGGUGUCAAUAUUCCCCUUGAAUUGAAUUGUUGAACUGUUAAGUAUUUUUAACAUCAACUCUUUAAUUUGACGAGACUGCUAUUGAUUGGAGAUAUGGUGGAUCAAUUGAUUUGCUUUUGCUUUCCUUAAUUCCUUGUAAUGAUAUGCCGGGGUGCAACCAUUGUAGAUCAGCGAGUAUGCAUAACACAUUAGGGAAUAUAAACAGAUGAAGAUGAUUGUUGGAAUAUUAGUCCAUGGAACCAUGAGGGCAAUAGUGGUUCAUUGGUAACAAAUCAAUAGAAAUAAUUUCCAUUGGAUGGGAAAGAUGGGUGCAUCACUUCACAAGUCUUCGAGAGGACAAGCAAUGAGGUUAAAACCUCCAUACCUUAUGGUAAAAUCUGUUUUCAAUAUCCUUUUAUUUUGGUUUUAUCUUGUGUAUACACUUAUUUAUAUGGUGAAAACUAGACAUGACUUUUGUAGCUUGAGCAUGUAUGUUUCAUUCUAAUAUAAAGAGAAGUCUACCUCUUAUUUCCUACAUGUACUUUUCUAUUAUUUUCUGUUUCUCUUGAUUAUUUAUUAGCAUGCAUUUCUUCCUCCAUAUUUAAAGUACAAUUUGUUUGUACGUUAUGUCCUGUGUCCACUGUCUUCUUAGUGUUUACUCGUUGAAAUUUAUCUUUUAAGCAUAUCUUAGUUAUGUAGCCCUUGUUUGGGAUGUUUGGAUAUGGAGGACCUAUUGCAUCUAUGCAUCUAGGAAGGUAUGAGUUGCACCUUCAUUUGUGUCCUCAUUCUGAUUGAAUAUUCCUAAAUGUUUAGUUUUACCUUUUUUCAUUUCACUGUCUUGUCGUAGGCAUGCGCUUGUUUCUUCGAAGACAAAGAAUUCCAAGAAAGUAUAAGCGUUACAUCUUGAGAGAGAAGCCUUACUCGGUAGUUCUAACACUGAACAUACUUGGACGAUAGUUAAGUUGCAUACUAGUUUCUUGAUCUGUCAGAGGGCCAUAUUUUUUAAUGCUUUUAUCUGAUUUCUCUUACAUCUUUGCAAUAGAACCACCCAAUGGUUUUCAAUCUCUUGUACUAAUGGACAACUUCAUUUCCAUUUUAGACUGAUGUUGGUAUCAAAAAUCCCUCAAAAGAUGAAAUUAGGGACACACCCCACGGAGAACUACUCUGUUUCUAUUAUUUUCUACUUUUGGCAUGGUCAAAUUGAGACAGUAUGUGUCAAUUAUAAGAAUUUUGUUGUGCCAGCUGUGAAUUUGACAAAAUGAUAGCUGUUGAUUUUUUUAUUUUUUAUUUUUUACAAGUGGGAUUCCUUCUAGUAAUUUUCAUGUUGUACCUAAGCAGAAGAAUAUAUGUGCUUGCUUUUAUGUGAUUAUGAUCAAUUAUGUGAUUAUGAUCAAUUACUUGAACAUGCUACCUGAUAUUUAUUUUUUUGGUGGUAGAUGGGUGGAUAAAAUCCUUGAGGCAUUAUGAGGAUAUGACCACUAAAGGACUAGCUUUUAAUUGUUUAGGUGAAAAAAGCAGCCUUAUUUUGGCUUGCUGUGAUUACAAGCAUAUCAGUGCUAAUUGCAAUAAAUAUAGGUGGUUCAAGUCUUUUCAAUCCUUGGUAUUGCAAUGUGCAGCUUAGAAGGAACUAAUUUUUAGUCAUUUUACUUCAUCAAUUAAUUCUUCAAAUCAUAAAGGUCAGUUCGUAGAAUUGGAUGCUUAGAAAACUGUCUUAUUCCAUGGCGGGCGGGGCAACAUCUGUUGUUUAUAUAUUGAUGGUGGAUUCACCAAGAAAAUGAAAAUAGUUUUUAGCAAUUUUAUAGUUGUUGGUAGAGGAAUGUUCUGUUGGCGGCAGAGAAUUUUUGGUUCUUGUCAGAGCUUUAUAUACAGGAAGUGGAAAAAAUCAUCUUGUAAUAUUCUGUAGUUUUUAUUCAUAAAACACUUGUACAUUUUUCUCUUACUAAUUCAGAUUUAGUUUUUAGUUUUUCUACAUGAUUCUCAUUUCAAGAGGAAGUUUAAGGAUCCAAUUUCAUUAUUAAAUUCUCCAUAUUUUUUGAGAAGUGGAAAAGCAAGAAAUAAGAAGGAUGAGAAUUUAAAUGGUAAUUGAGUUCUCAAAUAUUCGCUCUCUGGUUUAGGACCAUUUGCACUUGUUUGAAUGAUAUGCAUUGAAAUUUAGUUAGUUUUAGAUUGGAGACUAUUCCCAGCUUGAAAGCUUCUUCCAAUCUCCUUUAGAUUUGCAUUUCUCCUUUUUAUAAGUCAUCUAUCGUAUUGUGUUGGUAAAAUAUCAUUAUGUGUUCAGUAUUUUGUAAGUUUCUUACUGUUACAAGGAUGCUAUUAAUGCCCAAUGGUCAUUACCGAUGCAUCGUCGGUAAUUGACAUUUGUCCACCGUUACAAAAGAAUCACCACAAUUCCAUCCGACAGCUUCGAUAGUGUGUUUUCAGCAAGAACAUGCUAAAUCUAGCUUUAUUAAUGCUAACCGUUGAUAAAAUAAGAGAAAAUGAGACAUUAAGAAGUGAAAACGUUUAAAUAGUGUUUAUCCGAAACCAAAUAAGAGAGAAACAGACCUUCAGAAGUGAAAACAUUUUUAAAAAAAUGAAUACGGAUGGUGCAUUGGUAAUUACCGAUGCCGACGGUUUCAUCAGUAAUUACCGAAGGCCUUUCAGCAAUUACAGCUGACAAAUUUUUUAACUCCCACAACUCUCCUAAUGUGUGUUUCAUGCAACAACAUGCAAAAUAUACGUUCAUUAAUGAUCCUAAACAGUAAAAUCCCUAUAAAGUUCGGAAAAAGUUCUAAAAUUGCCAAAAAAAUUUAAUUAUCGUAGGGCCUUCGGUAAUUACCAAUGAAACCAUUGGUAAUCAAAUUGCCCUUACUGGAAAAAUUACCGAAGGUUUCAUUGGUAAUUACCGAAUGGCCUUCGGUAAGUACAGUUGAUAAAUUUUUUAACUCCCACAAGUCCCCUAAUGUGUGUUUCAUGCAACAACAUGCAAAAUAUACAUUCAUCAAUGAUCUUAAAUAGUAAAAUUCCCAUAAACUUCGGAAAAAGUUCUAAAAUGUAAAAAAAAUUUGAUUACCGUAGGGCCUUCGGUAGUUACCAAUGAAACCAUCAGUAACCAAAUUGCCCUUGCUGGAAAAAUUAUCGGAGGUUUCAUCGGUAAUUACCGAAGGCCCUUCGAUAAUUACAAUUGACAAAUUUUUUGACUCCCACAAGUCUCCUAAUGUGUGUUUUGUGCAACAACAUGUAAAAUAUACAUUUAUCAAUGAUCCUAAAAAGUAAAAUCCCCAUAAAGUUCAGAAAAAGUUCUAAAAUUGUCAAAAAAAAUUGAUUACCGUAGGGUCUUCAGUAAUUACCAAUGAAACCAUCGGUAAUCAAAUUACCCUUGCUGUAAAAAUUACCGAAGGUUUCAUCGAUAAUUAUCGAAGGCCCUUCGGUAAUUACAGUUGACAAAAUUUUUGACUCCCACAAGUCCCCUAAUGUGUGUUUCAUGCAAAAACAUACAAAAUAUACAUUCAUCAAUGAUCCUAAACAGCAAAAUCCCCAUAAAGUUUGAAAAAGUUCUAAAAUUGCCAAAAAAAUUUGAUUACUGUCGGGGCUUCGGUAAUCAAAUUGUCCUUGCGAGAAAAAUUACCGAAGGUUUCAUCGGUAAUUAUCGAAGGCCCUUCAGUAAUUACACUUUAUAAAUUUUUUGACUCCUACAAAUCCCCUAAUGUGGGUUUCGUGCAACAACAUGCAAAAUAUAAUGAGUAUUGACGAUAGCAUACUGCUUGUGUUUAACCUGAUUAUCAUUAAUACAAUGAGUAUUAUUGUGUUUACACCGCACCGGUCCACGGCAAGGCAACAAAUAAACAAAAAAACAAACCCACACCAGUCCACGGCAACAAAUAAACAAAAAAAUAAAAAAAAUUACCUGAUGAUAGAUAGUUGUUCAAGGGUUGUAAAAAGUGUAUUUUUGUUUUUUUUUUUUUUUUUGUUUAAAAGUUAAAAGGGACAUGAGAUGAAGUUUUUUAUUUUUUCAAAAGCAAUGUGGAAUACUGGUGUGGUGUGGUGAAAAUAAUGUUUAGUAGAAUGGAUGCUGGGAAAGUAAAAUAAGGAUACCCAAGUCAUUUCUCAUUGUUUUAAGGUUAAAAUGGGUAUUAAAAAGUAGAAAAAAAGAAAAAGGAUAGCAAAUGCAGGGUACCAAUCGUUAAGCUCAUCCUCAUGAGGGCAUUGGGCCAAAUUCCCAUAUUAAUAAAUAAAAACAAGGGGUAUUUGGUCCAAUACCCCUUUUAAAAAGGCUAUGAGGAUUUCCACCCAUUUAUUUAAGAAAUUUUUUGUUUUACCCUUUCGUUUUUCAAUAUUUCUAAACUACCCUUGAUAUAAAAAACAAAUCAAAUGAAAAGUUUUUUUUUUUUAGUUCCCUUCUGUCCACUCCUUCAAAAAUCUUCUCCAAAAACGGCAUAGCUGGCUUUUCUCUUUUUCUUGCUCACCCUUCCCCCAAAAUCCAAAGCCGACUCUUCUCUUCUCCUUCUUCAUCCUGCCCCCAAAAAUCUCAGAUUUAAGGUUAAGGUUGGAGUUUUUGAAUUUUCAUCUUCUUCAUCCCUAUAAGAAAUUUUGCAUGGUUGUUUCAGAAUGGCAUGAUCAUUAGCAUCAUCAUCAUCGUCACGAUCAUGUACAUGAUUCUGCUGUCUCUAGCAUUAGUAUUGUGUUCGAGGGAACCCUUGAUCUUGAUGAGAAUCCAGUGGAGUUGGAACGUUUGAAGAAAGCACACAUUCAGGAUGGCACUGCAAUGGUGCAAUAUCUUGUCUGGUUGCAUAAGCAGGAGAUAUAUGGGGUUUCUGGUUACUUCUUGGAGUGAGACGAAAUGACUAAGAAAAAACAAUUGCAAGCACUUAAACUAACAGAGGUGACUACAAGCGAUAAGCUGGAGAGUUUUCCUGCAGUAAAAGAGCAUUUUAAAGGAUUAAGUUUACUAUUUCGUUGGUUGGUCCAAAUGCUGCAAUCAUCCAUUAUGCGUCACCAGCAGAAACUUAUGCUGAGUUUAAUCAAGACAGCAUGUAUCUUUUUGACUCAGGAGCGAAGGCUUGUUAGCUAUAAUUAACUAUUGUAUGUACUUUGACUGGUAACAAAUUAUGUAAAAAUUACAAACUACAUUCAUGCACUUAUUUUUAUUAAAUAUUUGAGCUAGAUAGACUAUGUUUUCUAUUGAUACAUUUUUAACUUAUAAGUGGUUAUCUUUAUGGGCAUUUAUGUAGUAUUUACAUCGAACAACUGAUAUAAGAAGGACAGUUCAUUUUGGAAAACCAUCAGAACAUGAGAAACCAUGCUAUACUGCAGCAAGUGCUAAUCUAUUUUGUUUUUCCUUUUUAUUAUCAUUAUUAUUAUUAUAUUUUUUUCAAGUAUUGUAAAGUAAUUUUGUUUGCUUCAUUUUACAAGUCCUUAAGGGUCAUAUUGCACUUGGGAAUGCUCGAUUUCCUAAUGGAACCAAUGGUAAUGCCCUAGAUAUUCUUGCUUGAGUUCCACUAUGGAAAAAUGGUCUUGAUUAUCGGCAUGGUACAGGCCCAAAUGGAAUUGGGUCUUACCUUAAUGUUCA